rnacentral:lncRNA from 1 species
AGACUAUAUGCACUUAAAGGUCUCUUAUGAAGCAGGAAGUUUAAGCUCAUCCCAAAAUGAAUUUCCAUAGGUAGAAUUUCUUCUUCCCUUAGAUGAUUUUGGAGCACUACUAGUUUGGGUUGGAUAGCCGAAUCAUGGGAUUGAAAUGUUUGGAAAUUGGCUAUUGAAACUUCCUUUCCUCGUCUGGGAGAUGAUUCCUUCUCUAUCUCUAGGAUUUUUUUAUAAAGACUAGUGCAAGAAGGAUAUCUACGAAUGAAGACAUACCUUGCUUUACAAACAAAGAAAGAAAGAAAAACUCUACCAAAGGUUAUAUCAUUAAGACCAAUGUGAAAAUAUCAAGAAAAAACAUGGUCUUGUAGGGCAAGGUCUAAACCAGAAUUUAUAGAAAGAUUAAAAGAUUUCCUAGCUGUAGCUAAAAGUUCAUUAUCUUCUUGAUAAAAAGAUAGGACCUCGGCUAUAGAAAAGGCUUGGUUUUGACCUAUUGCAAUCAACUCCAGACAUAGAUCAUAAUUAGGGGCAAAGAAAGGACUUGUUGACUCCCAUGGUCUAUGGCUGGUCUCCGAAGGUGCAAAAAAUUCAAUAAUAGGUGUGGAAUUUGAGUUAUCCAUAAAGAUGGAAAAAAUAAAAAAGAUAAAAGAAUAAAAGUAUAAAAGUAUAAUACAAGAUAAUAGCAAGACUCAAAGUUAUCUCAGCAAACCGUCUUUCUCCCCGGCAACAGCGCCAGAAAUGCUUGUUGAUAUUUAUGAGUACCCGAGCCCAAACACCAUGUUUACGCUAGCAAUGAUUACUCUAAACUCAACCGGAAGAGAUUAAAGUACACUCAUAAACCAAAGAACAAUAAGAACAAAGAACUUACUAGAAUUUAGAAGUCGAAACACUGAAGAAUCCUAGGAGCAAGCCUCGGGUUAGGAGACUUGAUCCCGUAGGUACAACCUCGGAGUAGACACCAACAGGCCGGGCUUCCUCCGAUCUACACCUCCACUCUAUCUCUCUCAAACUAGUAGAACUUAGAAGAACUAAUUCUACUCUCACAUUGGAUGCUAAGCCCUAUGAGGUGGGAACCCUAAGGAACCUCUCUCUCUGAAUCCUCUCUAGAAAAUAUGCUAAUGAAUAAUGAGGAUUGCCUCCUCUAGGGGUCAGGGGGCCUGCUUAUAUAGUCCCCUCAAGUGAAUCUGGGCUGUCGGAUCAAACCGACAUUAAUCGCACGGUUUUCCUUGAUCCUUUAGGUCGGUGGAGCAUAAUCCGCGAGACGGGACCUGAUUGGUCUCUGUAGCUGGGCGGGCGCCCUGCCCCCGGGCCCGUUCGGCCUCCUGUUCGUUCCCGUGGCUUCUAGAGUCUUCUACAUGAUAGAAAAUUGCGCGGCAC